rnacentral:tRNA from 1 species
AAGUAAGAAGCAAAUCAAUUGUAAUCAGUUUCGACCUGAUAGUAAGAAAUUAUCAAUCUUCCUUAUUUA